CCAUCGCCGUCUGGAGAGCCGUCACACGCGUGACGCACCGAAGGAGCAAGGCCCCGGGUUUGAUGCUCGAGGCUGAAUCUCUCAGGUACCAAGGACAGGGGGAGCGGC
rnacentral:ncRNA from 1 species